rnacentral:rRNA from 1 species
UACCAGCACCCCGAGUGUUCGGGACGAUUAUUGGGCCUAAAGCAUCCGUAGCCGGUCCUACAAGUCUUCCGUUAAAUCCACCUGCUCAACAGAUGGGCUGCGGAAGAUACUAUAGGGCUAGGAGGCGGGAGAGGCAAGCGGUACUCAGUGGGUAGGGGUAAAAUCCUCUGAUCCAUUGAAGACCACCAGUGGCGAAGGCGGCUUGCCAGAACGCGCUCGACGGUGAGGGAUGAAAGCUGGGGGAGCAAACCGG